UUUAUCGGAGAGUUUGAUCCUGGCUCAGGACGAACGCUGGCGGCGUGCCUAAUACAUGCAAGUCGAGCGGACAGAUGGGAGCUUGCUCCCUGAUGUUAGCGGCGGACGGGUGAGUAACACGUGGGUAACCUGCCUGUAAGACUGGGAUAACUCCGGGAAACCGGGGCUAAUACCGGAUGGUUGUUUGAACCGCAUGGUUCAGACA
rnacentral:rRNA from 1 species